AAUGAACGCUGGCGGCGUGCCUAACACAUGCAAGUCGAGCGAGAAAGUUCCUUCGGGAAUGAGUAAAGCGGCGGACGGUUGAGUAACACGUGAGAAUCUACCCUUUAGUGAAGAAUACCUUCGUGAAAUCGAAAUUAAUACUGCAUAAGUCCCUUCGGGGAGAAAAGUGGCCUCUUUGCUACUGCUAAAAGGAUGAGCUUGCGGACUAUCAGCUAGUUGGUGAGGUAAAGGCUCACCAAGGCUAUGACGGUUAGCCGGCCUGAGAGGGUGAACGGCCAGACUGGAACUUAGACACGGUCCAGACUCCUACGGGAGGCAGCAGUGAGGAAUAUUGCGCAAUGGGCGAAAGCCUGACGCAGCGACGCCCGCGUGGAGGAUGGAAGGUUUUCGGAUCGUAAACUACCUGUAAGUGGGAAGAAAAGUCU
rnacentral:rRNA from 1 species